GGAAGCGUGCCCGAGAACAGGGGCUACUUUGAUAGAGUAAAUACAGAGUAACCAACCUCUCUCUUCC
rnacentral:tRNA from 1 species